UGCAGAAUCCCGUGAACCAUUGAGUCUUUGAACGCAAGUUGCGCCCGAAACCAUUAGGUUGAGGGCACGUCUGCCUGGGUGUCACGC
rnacentral:rRNA from 1 species